UACGAAGGGUGCAAGCGUUUCUCGGAAUUACUGGGCGUAAAGCGUGCGUAGGUGGUUCGUUAAGUCUGAUGUGAAAGCCCUGGGCUCAACCUGGGAAUGGCAUUGGAUACUGGCGAUCUAGAGUGCGGUAGAGGGCAGUGGAAUUCCCGGUGUAGCAGUGAAAUGCGUAGAGAUCGGGAGGAACAUCUGUGGCGAAGGCGACUGCCUGGACCAGCACUGACACUGAGGCACGAAAGCGUGGGGAGCAAACAGG
rnacentral:rRNA from 1 species